rnacentral:ncRNA from 1 species
CAGGGUUGUCGUUUACGCGACAUUAAAAGGGAACAAUGUGCAAUUCAUUGACAGUCCCGCUACGGUAAGUUGCGUCCUUUGCGACGUGUGUUCUUUUCACUGAGUUUAUCGGGAAGGAAAGAACGGCUGUUUCAGUCCUCACAACAAGUCCGGAUACCUGCCUUGAAGGU